GGAGGAAAGCAGGGGAUCGCAAGACCUUGCGCUCAUUGAGCGGCCGAUGCCUGAUUAGCUAGUUGGUGAGGUAAAGGCUUACCAAGGCGGCGAUCAGUAGCUGGUCUGAGAGGACGACCAGCCACACUGGGACUGAGACACGGCCCAGACUCCUACGGGAGGCAGCAGUGGGGAAUUUUGGACAAUGGGGGAAACCCUGAUCCAGCCAUGCCGCGUGAGUGAAGAAGGCCUUCGGGUUGUAAAGCUCCUUCAGCCGGAACGAAACGGUCACGGCUAAUACCUGUGACUACUGACGGUACCGGAAGAAGAAGCACCGGCUAACUACGUGCCAGCAGCCGCGGUAAUACGUAGGGUGCGAGCGUUAAUCGGAAUUACUGGGCGUAAAGCGUGCGCAGGCGGUUUUGUAAGU
rnacentral:rRNA from 1 species